UCCUUCUUCCUCCCUCUUUUUUCUUCUUUCCUUUUCUUCCCUUUUUUUUAUUCUUUUCUUUAAUUUUUUUGUGAAAUCUCCCGGCUCAACUGGGAGGGUGCGCCGAAUACUGAGGGACUAGAGUACGGGAGAGGAAAGUGGAAUUCCUGGUGUAGCGGUGAAAUGCGUAGAUAUCAGGAGGAACACCGGUGGUGUAGACGGCUUUCUGGACCGUAACUGACGCUGAGACACGAAAGCGUGGGUAGCAAACAGG
rnacentral:rRNA from 1 species